rnacentral:lncRNA from 1 species
UUAAAUGUAGACUUUGUAACUUUCAUCUUCAAUUAUUGAUUCAAUCUCAAGAACAAUUUUGAUUGCCAGAAAUUCUACUUUUCUUUGAUUUCUCUUAUGUUAAUGGUAGACAUUUCUAAUGAAAAUAGUAUAUGUGUCUUAUGUUAAAUGUAGCCUUUACAACUUUUACCUUAGGUUGAUUCAAUCUCAAGAACAAUUUUGAUUUCCAGAAAAUCUACUUUUCUUUGAUUUCGCUUACGUUAAUGGUAGACAUUUCUAAUGAAAAUAGUAGAUGUGUGUUAUGUUAAAUGUAGAUUUUC